ACGGUUCCAACGCCCGAGCCCAGCGGGCUUGGGCCUCCGCUGUCGGGCCAGGCUAGUUGCUCCGGGGCUGGGAGUUACGGCACCGGGGUUGGGGCGGAGAAGACGAACUAGUUCAACUCGACCCGGUUAAGCAAGCGCAGCAGUGUGUGUUCUUGGAUCAUAGUAUUUCAUGUAAACAUUUUGAUUUAAGAGAAACAAAAGGGAAAAUAUUAACCGUUUUCAAGCAUCCAAAGGCGAAAUGCUUCAUCUCUGGGAUGGAGUAGAGGAGUAGCCUCUGCGGUUGAGUUGCAGUCGUGGGUGCAAGAAGCAGCGCUGAAGCAGAGUGCAGCCCCGGAAUAGGGCGGGAUGGAAUGGCCUGGGCAGUUCAGAAACCCGCGAGGAGUCCAGGGCGGAACAGAAGGGGACACAUAGAUAAAUGUGCACAGAGGGAAGAAGGCCAUUUGGAGAUAGAAGCAGGGAUUGGAGUGAUGCAACUGGAAGCCAAGAAACGCCGCAGAAUGCCAGGAGCCAGCAGAAGCUAAGAAAAGGCAAAGAAGGAUUAUUCCAAAGUGCCUUCCGAAGAAGGUUGGCCCUGCCAAAAACCUGAUUUCAGACUUCUAGCCCCCAAAACUGCAAGAGAAUAAAUUUUGUUGUUUCAA
rnacentral:lncRNA from 10 species